rnacentral:rRNA from 1 species
GACAGAGGGUGCGAACGUUGUUCGGAAUUACUGGGCGUAAAGCGCGUGUAGGCGGCAGCGCAAGUCGGGCGUGAAAUCCCACGGCUCAACCGUGGAAGUGCACUCGAAACUGCGCAGCUAGAGUCCUGGAGAGGAAGGUGGAAUGCUUGGUGUAGAGGUGAAAUUCGUAGAUAUCAAGCGGAACACCGGUGGCGAAGGCGGCCCUCUGGACAGUGACUGACGCUGAGACGGCGAAAGCGUGGGGAGCAAACAGG